GAUGAACGCUGGCGGCGUGCCUAAUACAUGCAAGUCGAGCGAACGGACGAGAAGCUUGCUUCUCUGAUGUUAGCGGCGGACGGGUGAGUAACACGUGGAUAACCUACCUAUAAGACUGGGAUAACUUCGGGAAACCGGAGCUAAUACCGGAUGAUAUUUUGAUCCGCAUGGUUCAAAAGUGAAAGACGGUCUUGCUGUCACUUAUAGAUGGAUCCGCGCUGCAUUAGCUAGUUGGUAAGGUAACGGCUUACCAAGGCAACGAUGCAUAGCCGACCUGAGAGGGAGAACGGCCACACUGGAACUGAGACACGGUCCAGACACCUACGGGAGGCAGCAGUAGGGAAGCUGCCGCAAUGGGCGAAAGCCUGACGGAGCAACGCCGCGUGGGUGAUGAAGGUCUUCGGAUCGUAAAACUCUGUUAGUAGGGAAGAACAUAUGUGUAAGUAACUGUGCACAUCUUGACGGUACCUAAUCAGAAAGCCACGGCUAACUACGU
rnacentral:rRNA from 1 species